ACCCAGUCGGAGGUAGGACGGGGGCUGAAGUGGGACCAGCUCUGAGCUGGGGGCCCGUCUGACGUAGGACCCAGGGUGAGGUGGGACCCAGUUGGAGGUGGGACCCGGUCUGACGUGGACCCCGGCUUGACGUCGAACGCAGUCUGACGUCGGACCCACCUGACGUCUGCUCGCUCUGACGUCGGCGCUGUCUGACUCCAGUCUGAGGCCGUCCUGGUUUUGAAGUCAGCCCGGACGCCGGCCGACGGUUUCCACACCCAGCCUGGAAGCCGAAACGCUCACGUGAAGCCUGAAAGCCCAUGAAGGGAACGACUGCGACGCUGGGAUCCCAAGACGGGGCCUCCCCGCCUGGAGAGGCAGCCAGCGAGCGGCAGGUUCGGCGGCUGGGCAGCUGAGAGAGUCAUUACUGUGAUCUGUGGGACAUUCUAUACAUGAGCUGAUACUUCUCUUCCUUCUCCUCAGUCUCUAAGAAUGAGUCCAGACCCAUUCUGGGACUCAGAGAACUCUUUCUGGACCGUCUCUUCCCUCUCACCGCCAGCCACCAUCUCCCAUCCAUCAGUUUGUAAGGCCAUGUGAGGACAGUGAGAAGGCCGUGAUCACAGCCCAAGGAGAGAGGCAUCACCAGACACAGACUCUGCUGCCGCUUUGAUCUCAGACUUCCCAGCCUCUAGCACUGUCCUGGCUGGCUAGAAGCUUUCAGAAUGACUGUUUCCAUUUAAUGUGGUCUCAUAGCAUGCAGAAGAAUUUCAGAGAUUUUCAGUUGGAAUAGUGGUGGCAAGGCAACCACACAUUCUUAAAGUAUUGCAAAUGAACUUUUGCCCCCUUGAUCAUGGGGCAAACACAAAGAUCUUGAUGGACUCUCCUCCUUUGUCCCCCCUGCUCUCCUGUUCUGUGCCCUGCUCUGUUGCUGCGCUGGUCCUCUUGAGACAUUUCCCAUCAUGGUGUAACCUCUAAGACCUUGCAAAGAUUGACAUGUCUCUAAGAAUGUGCCAAACAGAUCUAGAGCAAUGGUUUUCAACCAGGGAAGACUACCACCUGCCUCUUCCCCUACAACCACAGACAUUCAACAAUGCUUUGGGUUGUCACAACUGUAGAUUGUGCUGCUGAACAUCUCAGAGUACACAGGGAAUCUUUUGCAGUAAAGGAUGAUUCAAGCCAAAAUGUCAUUAGUUCCACUGUUAUGGAUCCUUGAUCUAAAAUACCUUAUACCUUCUUUGUAGGUCGCUUCUUGGGAAAGGACAACUGAAUUAGAGUAGGUGUCUCUACAAGCAUCUCUUAGAGUGCGCACCUGGGGAAUGCAAAUAAAAAUCACAGUGUGAGACUGUUGCAUAUCUAGUGAAAGAGCUAAAAUGAUAAACCAAGGAAAUACUAAGACUGAACAGCUCUGUAGCCAGCUGAACUUUCAUACUGUGUUCGUGGGAAACUAAAUGGGCAAAACCACUUUGCAAAACUGUUUAGUGUUAUCCGGUAAAGCUGAACAUAGGCAUACUUUAUGAUUCCACAAUUCUAUUCCUAGAUAUGCAUACCCAUCGGAAACAUGUACAUAUAUCACCAAAAGUAUGCACUAGAUUGUUCAUUGCAGCACUGUCUAAAGUUGCCAAAUAUUGCAAAAACAACCCAAAUGCCCUUCAGUUGUAGAAUGGGUAAAUAAAUUGCUGUGUAUUCA